CAACGACUCUCGGCAACGGAUAUCUCGGCUCUCGCAUCGAUGAAGAACGUAGCGAAAUGCGAUACGUGGUGUGAAUUGCAGGAUCCCGUGAACCAUCGAGUUUUUGAACGCAAGUUGCGCCCGAAGCCACUAGGCCGAGGGCACGCCUGCCUGGGCGUCACGC
rnacentral:rRNA from 1 species